GAAUGAGUGAAUAAGGAAUCCUAAAAAUUAAGGGAAAUUAAUUAAUCCAUGUAUUUUACAUUAUUUUCGUUUAUUUUAGCUUCAAUUACACUGACGUGCUGAGGAUUUUCAUUUAUACUUUGAUCAGCUCCACACAAUAUGGGCCAUAAACCCAGCCAAGUUUUCUGCAUGGUGGGCACGUUCAGAAAAAUACAUUUGAUGAUCUUUUUUUGGUGCUGUCCCUUUGCCGUCCUAGGCUGCAUCUAUCCCCAGAGCUAUGAUGACACUUGUCAAGCACAGGCUCACCUCCUUUACGGAAGAAUGAAAAGGCUCCCUGCAAGGUGAAUGCAGCCCAAGCCACAGUGCAUGGCCGUGUCCAUGGAACCCAACUGCUCUGUGGAAGCCUCACACUCCCCCCGGCCAGGAGCCCAGGGGUGGGGAAGAAUCUGCACAACUAGGUUGAGAACAGGCAGUCUGACCUCUUCUAUGGAGUACUUUAAGGCAAUGAUUUUCAAACACUUUAAAGAACUCUAGGAAUUUCUUCAGAGCUGCUUCACGGACUCUGGCGAAGAGACAGGAAAUCCAACUGUUUGGGAUCCCGCNCAUGGAGUACUUUAAGGCAAUGAUUUUCAAAAUGCACUUUAAAGAACUCUAGGAAUUUCUUCAGAGCUGCUUCACGGACUCUGGCGAAGAGACAGGAAAUCCAACUGUUUGGGAUCCCGCAAGGUCAUCCACAUGGCAUAUGGCAUGUUUUACAUACUUAGCCACCACACGGGCUUUUCGGGGUAAACAGUGUGUUCUGUGUGUUUGUCUUGUCUCAGAAGCUAAGCUUUAGGAUGAUAAAAACCUGAGUACAUCUCCCCACCCCUUCUCUAGCAUCAUCAAAGAAAAAUCAGCUCUAAUUAUGUGAUAGCAUGGACCAUUUUACAAGGAAGCUGCAGUAGGAGUAGAAACAGACACAUGUAAGGGCGCCUGGGUGGCUCAGUCAGUUAAGCAUCUGCCUGAUCAGGUCAUGAUCUCAGGAUCCUGGGAUUGAACCCAGAGUCAGGUUCCCUGCUCAGCGGGGAGUCUGCUUCUCCCUCUCCCUCUGCCCCUCCGCCCUCUUGUGCACGCUCUCUCUCUCGCGCU
rnacentral:lncRNA from 1 species